rnacentral:rRNA from 1 species
CCCUUAGAUGUUCUGGGCGGCCCGCGCACUACAUUGGCACUGGCAACAAGAUCCUAGAUCUGAUAUUUCGGGGUAUUCUACCAACUGGUGUCGUGACUGGGAUUAACCCCUGCAAUUAUUGGUUAUGAACGAGGAAUUCCUUGUAAUCACGGUUUAUCAACCCGUGUUGAAUGCGUCCCUGCCCUUUGUACACACCGCCCGUCGCUCCUACCGAUGAAUCGUCCGGUGAAGUUCAUGGAGUCGCGGCUGCUCCAGCUGUUUUCGAAGUGAAAUGGACCUCNUNAUUUAGNGGAAGGAGAANUCGUANCA